CCUGCUCACUGCAGGUCGGGGCCGAAUGCCUGGCCCAAGACAGGCCUCACAGAGAGAACUCCCAGAGCAAGGCCCCUGCUCGUGCCCUGGGCAGGUCCUGAAUGCCCGCUGCUACGGUGCUUGGAGCCUGGGGCUGUGGGGAGGACUCAGGGGUCCGUGUGUCCCAGCCUUCCCAGGAGCCUUGCAAGGCAUGAAUAAAUAG
rnacentral:lncRNA from 1 species